rnacentral:rRNA from 1 species
UACGUAGGGUGCAAGCGUUAAUCGGAAUUACUGGGCGUAAAGCGUGCGCAGGCGGUUUUGUAAGUCAGAUGUGAAAUCCCCGGGCUUAACCUGGGAACUGCGUUUGAAACUACAAGGCUAGAGUGUGGCAGAGGGGGGUGGAAUUCCACGUGUAGCAGUGAAAUGCGUAGAGAUGUGGAGGAAUACCAAUGGCGAAGGCAGCCUCCUGGCCUAAUACUGACGCUCAUGCACGAAAGCGUGGGGAGCAAACAGG